rnacentral:rRNA from 1 species
UACAGAGGGUGCGAGCGUUAAUCGGAAUUACUGGGCGUAAAGCGCGCGUAGGUGGUUUUGUAAGUCGGAUGUGAAAGCCCCAGGCUCAACCUGGGAACUGCAUUCGAGACUGCAUUACUGGAGUAUGGGAGAGGGCAGUGGAAUUUCCGGUGUAGCGGUGAAAUGCGUAGAUAUCGGAAGGAACAUCAGUGGCGAAAGCGACUGCCUGGACCAAUACUGACGCUCAUGUGCGAAAGCGUGGGGAGCAAACAGG